GCGGGAAAAGCUCAAAUUUAAAAUCUGGCAGCCUCUGGUUGUCCGAGUUGUAGUCUGGAGAAGUGCUUUCCGCGCUGGACCGUGUAUAAGUCUCUUGGAAUAGAGCGUCAUAGAGGGUGAGAAUCCCGUCUUUGACACGGACUACCAGUGCUUUGUGAUGCGCUUUCAAAGAGUCGAGUUGUUUGGGAAUGCAGCUCAAAAUGGGUGGUAAAUUCCAUCUAAAGCUAAAUAUUGGCGAGAGACCGAUAGCGAACAAGUACCGUGAGGGAAAGAUGAAAAGCACUUUGGAAAGAGAGUUAAACAGUACGUGAAAUUGCUGAAAGGGAAACGCUUGAAGUCAGUCGCGUCGUUUGGAACUCAGCCUUGCUUUUGCUUGGUGCACUUUCUGAAUGACGGGCCAGCAUCAAUUUUGACCGUUGGAGAAGGGUGGGAGGAAUGUGGCACUCUUCGGGGUGUGUUAUAGCCUCUUACCGCAUGCAACGGUUGGGAUUGAGGACCGCAGCGCGCCGCAAGGCAGGGGAAUGUUUCCCACUUUCGCGCUUAGGAUGCUGGCAUAAUGGCUUUAAGCGACCCG
rnacentral:rRNA from 1 species